rnacentral:rRNA from 1 species
UACGUAGGUGGCAAGCGUUGUCCGGAUUUACUGGGCGUAAAGAGCGCGCAGGCGGUCGUUCAAGUCGAGUGUGAAAGCCCCCGGCUCAACUGGGGAGGGUCACUCGAUACUGAUCGACUCGAAGGCAGAAGAGGGAAGCGGAAUUCCCGGUGUAGUGGUGAAAUGCGUAGAUAUCGGGAGGAACACCAGUGGCGAAGGCGACUACCUGGCCUGUUCUUGACGCUGAGGCGCGAAAGCGUGGGGAGCAAACGGG